AUGGCCGCGGCGGACAGCCACGGGCAGUUUUUGGAAUUGGAGGACGCGGUGAGGUACAUGAAGAUUGUGGAGAACCGCCAUCCGGCGAGCUACAGCGAAUUCCUCGGCGUCAUGGUUGAUUACAAGAGAGGCAGGAUCGGCGUCGCCGAAGUGGCGUCGACGGUGGCGGCACUGUUCCGGGACAGCCCCAACCUCAUCGUCAGCUUCAACGCCUUCUUGCCCAAGCGCCACCGGAUCCGUCUAUCGGACGAACAAGCGGCGGGUUUAGAGAAGCCGACGACCUUCGUGAAGGCGGUGAUGAACACGCACCCGGCCACAUACCGCGAGUUUCUCCGCAUCAUAUUCGACGAAUACGGGAGGGACGGGGUCGGCAUCGCGGAGGUGGCGUCGAGGGUGGGAGCGCUGUUCCGGGAUAGGCCUGACCUCAUCGCCGGCUUCAACGCCAUAUUGCCGAGAGAGCACAAGAUCAAGGUCAUCGGCGGGGUGGAUGAGCAUGAGCUUGCCGCUCGUUUCGUGAGAGAAGUGAGCCUAGAUGACCACGAUGACGAUAAGAUCCACGAUGGAUAA
rnacentral:rRNA from 1 species